rnacentral:rRNA from 1 species
UCCCCUACGGGAGGCAGCAGUGGGGAAUAUUGCACAAUGGGCGCAAGCCUGAUGCAGCGACGCCGCGUGGGGGAUGAAGGCCUUCGGGUUGUAAACUCCUUUCAACCAUGACGAAGCGUGAGUGACGGUAGUGGUAGAAGAAGCACCGGCUAACUACGUGCCAGCAGCCGCGGUAAUACGUAGGGUGCGAGCGUUGUCCGGAAUUACUGGGCGUAAAGAGCUCGUAGGUGGUUUGUCGCGUCGACUGGGAAAUUCCGGGGCUUAACUCCGGGCGUGCAGGCGAUACGGGCAUAACUUGAGUGCUGUAGGGGAGACUGGAAUUCCUGGUGUAGCGGUGAAAUGCGCAGAUAUCAGGAGGAACACCGAUGGCGAAGGCAGGUCUCUGGGCAGUAACUGACGCUGAGGAGCGAAAGCAUGGGUAGCGAACAGGAUUAGAUACCCCAGUAGUCUGA